GAUGAACGCUGGCGGCGUGCCUAAUACAUGCAAGUCGAGCGAACGGACGAGAAGCUUGCUUCUCUGAUGUUAGCGGCGGACGGGUGAGUAACACGUGUAUCCCCUACCUAUCAGUCUGGGAUCACUUCGGGAAACCGGAGCUAAUACCGUAUGAUCUUUUGCACCGCAUGGUUCAAAAGUGAAAUACGGUCUUGCUGUCACUUAUAGCUGGAUCCGGGCUGCAUUAGAUAGUUGGUAAGGUAACGGCUUACCAAGGCAACGAUGCAUAGCCGACCUGAGAGAGUGGUCGGCCACACGGGAAGUGAGCCACGGACCAUACUCCUGCGGGAGGCCGCAGUAGGGAAUGUUACGCAAUAGGGGGAAACCUGACGGAGCGGCGCCGCGUGAGAUGUAGAGGUGUUCCGAGCGUGAAACUGUGUUAUGAGGGAAGAACAGAUGUGUAAGUAACUGUACACAUAGUGACGGUAACUAGUCAGAAAGCCACGGCUAACUACGUG
rnacentral:rRNA from 1 species